CCUACGGGAGGCUGCAGUCGAGGAUCUUCGGCAAUGGGCGCAAGCCUGACCGAGCGACGCCGCGUGUGCGAUGAAGGCCUUCGGGUUGUAAAGCACUUUCGGGGGGGAACAAAACAAUGAGUGAUCCCCAAAAGAAGCACGGGCUAAGUUCGUGCCAGCAGCCGCGGUAAGACGAACCGUGCGAACGUUGUUCGGAAUCACUGGGCAUAAAGGGCGCGUAGGUGGUCUGCCAAGUCGGGGUUGAAAUCUUUCGGCUCAACCGGAAAAGUGGCUUC
rnacentral:rRNA from 1 species